rnacentral:lncRNA from 12 species
CAAGCAGUUGACCCGGGUUCGAUUCCCGGCCAACGCAGCUGGCCAACGUUUUGCGCGGCUCCAGGGCCCCGGUGCUCAGGCCCGAUGGGAGCCGGGAGCCGGGCGCGACGCUGAGUGCGUGCGUGUGUGUGUGUGUGUGUGUGUGUGAGAGAGAGAGAGAGAGAGAGAGGAGGAGGAGGAGGCGCGCAGCGUUUUGACGGCGCGGCGGGCGGGCGGUCCGGCCAGGUGGCUCGGCGGGGCCGGCGGGCGGCUGCGCGUGGCCCGGCGGGGGCCCUGGAGGCCAAGCAGAGGCGAGUGGGCGGUAGGGAGGGAGGCGCCGGGUCCAGGGCGCACGGGCCAGGCGCGCAGCCUGACGCUCCCUGGUGGUCUAGUGGUUAGGAUUCGGCGCUCUCACCGCCGCGGCCCGGGUUCGAUUCCCGGUCAGGGAAGCCUUUCUUCUUCCUCUCGCAAGACCGCCGCCGCACACCCCUUUUAGCCGAAGCUCGCUCGUGCGUCUCCCUGGCCCCGAGCUGACCGAGGCUGCGCGUGCGCACGAGGCCACCCGCCCCGUCGAGCCCAAGGCUGGCUUGCCUGGCGGGCUCCGUCGGGCCGGCCCAAGCCUUUUGGCCUCGCUGGCUGGCUGGCCGGCAGGUGGGCCGACUGGAGGUCUCGGCGUCUCGCGGCCGCCUCCCCCGGACGCUCGCCUGGCUCCCCGUCUCGCUCCGCCCCAGGCCCGACAGUCCGGGACGCCGUCCGACCCCAGCCGAGGCCACCGACAGGCCGGGCGCCUCGGGCCUCCGUGGGUGCUUGGACUCUCCCGCAGCACCCCUGCCGCCGGGAGAAAGGUCGUGGCGGCUCGCAGCACCCCCACCCCCCGGCCCCCCGCUGGCUCCUUGACCCUUUCUGUAGAUCGCCAUCUCUUGGUUUCAAAGCUGGCCACAAUCCUUCCACAUACUGUAUGGGGUUUUUUUGUCCGUGUGAAUAACAGCACGUAGCUAAAAUGUAAGUAUGUCAUUUCCAAGAUGAGGUUAGAAAAUACUGUGGCUUCAAUCUUGGGCUCUGUCUGUGUGUCUGUUUCUUUCUCAUAACCUUCUUUGGAGGAAGCCAGUUAACAUUUUCUGAUGAUGCACCUGCAGGCUAUGGAGUAGCCCAGAGUGGGAGGAACAAAAGGUGUUGGAGCACCCAGCCAAGUGAAUUGGGUCCUCCAUUCCAGUUGAAGCUUCAGAUGACUGCAGGCCGGUCAGCAGCUGAGGACUGGGAAGCAGAUCCAUGAAGCUAAGUUGCUUCUGGACUCCUGACUCUGGAAACUGCGAUCGAAUAAAUGUUUCUUCUUUUAAGCUGCUAAGUUUUGG